UGGGCUUUAACUGACGCUGAGGCACGAAAGCGUGGGUAGCAAACAGGAUUAGAUACCCUGGUAGUCCACGCUGUAAACGAUGAUUACUAGGUGUGGGGGGUCUGACCCCUUCCGUGCCGCAGUUAACACAAUAAGUAAUCCACCUGGGGAGUACGGCCGCAAGGUUGAAACUCAAAGGAAUUGACGGGGGCCCGCACAAGCAGUGGAGUAUGUGGUUUAAUUCGAAGCAACGCGAAGAACCUUACCAGGUCUUGACAUCCUAAGGAUCCUUUAGAGAUAAGGGAGUGCCCUUCGGGGAAUUUAGAGACAGGUGGUGCAUGGUUGUCGUCAGCUCGUGUCGUGAGAUGUUGGGUUAAGUCCCGCAACGAGCGCAACCCUUACUGUUAGUUGCUACGCAAGAGCACUCUAGCAGGACUGCCGUUGACAAAACGGAGGAAGGUGGGGAUGACGUCAAAUCAUCAUGCCCCUUAUGACCUGGGCUACACACGUACUACAAUGGCCGUCAACAGAGGGCAGCAAAAUGGUGACAUGGAGCAAAUCCCUAAAAACGGUCUCAGUUCAGACUGCAGGCUGCAACCCGCCUGCACGAAGAUGGAAUGCU
rnacentral:rRNA from 1 species